rnacentral:lncRNA from 1 species
GUAGCCCUGGUUGUUUUGAGGAACUGGCUAUAUAGACCAGGCUGGGAUGUAAGGUCCACAGACAAACCGAGGCACCACGCAACCGAAGUUCACUCUGGAAAGCAGUGAGUUCAUUGGACUUCCUUGGAUCACAGGUUCCACCGCCAAGGGUGGAAUUCACUCUAGGCAGCUUCUAGCUCCUCACUCACCUACCAGAGCAGCCCAGCAUCAGAUCAGCUACUGGUGAACCAGUGCUAGUCACUUACCCUCAGCCAAAGACUGGACAGAGAGCAUCUGAAUCCCGUAGCCAAAAGUGGGUUCCCAGAAACUUGGAUGUUUGAAGUCUCAGGUAUGACUCUCAGAUGCCCGCCCUAGUUCUCCCCCCACGCCCCUGCCCCGUGGGCGCGUUCAUGUGGGCUAAAUACAGCCCUUCCCUUGCCUCUUCCCCUGCGCUUCAAGUCACCUACUUUCCUCAACUCACGUGAGUAGCUAUCCUCACGUGAUCGUGGGUCUACCAUGCGUGGACACCCACAGCGCAUUACACUUCUCCCUGUUAAGCCUAUGUCAGAUGUAUGUACAAGGACCCCGCCAUUUCGCCUGCCACUCAGACACUGUAAUUAUUCCAACAUCUGCUGGGGGUGGGGGUGGGGGGAAGUCCUUCUUAGUGGUGGAGGAGCCCUCCCAGUUCCCUGUGCUGUGAGUCGCACCCACUUGUCACCCGCUUCUCGCCUUCGCUGUGCACCACACCCCGCAGCCAGGAUUGAGCUUGCACGCCUCCGGGCCCUGGGUCAUCCGGUCUGUCUCCGGGAUCCAAUAUCACGUCCACUGACCUCUUCGCACCAGUAACCUCUCCAGUGUGACACGGUGGGAAAAGCUCUGGAGCAAGCUCACAAACGGCUUAAUUUUUCCAGCGAGCACUCAAGUUUUUUUAAUUAAUUAAUUAAUUUCCCUGUCCCCAGCAGCGGUGGUUGGGUCGUUCACGACUAGGUCCUCUUUUUCUGGAAAAGCGGUCCCCAGCCCGGCCGCACACCACAGCGACGGCUUCCAGCAGCUGGUUUAGUCUCCUUUCUGAUGGAAGGCCCAGCAGACCGGCAAUUCUUUCCUCGUGGGGCGCGCUCGGCCCUAGUAAGUUACCCACCGCACCUUCUAAGAGGGCUCCUCCGGGUGGGGCGUGUCACCAGGUCAAUUUUCCAGAGGUACAACCUCUGCACCCUGCGGUCCCCUAGCCUCCCUGCCCCACCCCAUAGCAGCCCCAGGUGCCGGCUCCGCGCAGCGCGUGGCAGCUCGGGGUUGGGACCUCCGCGCCUAGGCUUUUACGCGGACCCCAGCACGUGUUGCAACAGGGGGAGUGUCGGGCAGUGUCCCGGCACAGGACGCUUUAAUGGGACGGAAGAAAGCCACAGGAAGGAAGGUGGCUGACUUCAAAGCGUAUCAUCUUAUCAGCUGACCAGGAUCACGGUUCACCUGCUGCGUUCGUCUGCUCGGCUGGGGCUGGGGAUCUCUCUGCACCCCCGUCCCGGGGCAGCUAA